CGAGUAAAAAAAUUGAAAGACGCUGUUUGCUGUCUAGGACUGGGGAAAGGAUAUGCGAGACUUGGACAAGAGUGACUUACCAGGUUAUUCGGAAGAUUGUGAAUGUCUUUAGUUAUGGGGAAAUGAUUCAAGGGUUGGUUAAAGGGAAGAGAUUGGAGGAUGCUGUUGAGUUUUGUGUGGAGAUGUUGGAGGCUGGGCAUUCUCCAAAAGGUCCUUACUCACCGAUGUUUUGGGAGGCUAUCUAUGGGAAGAAGAAGAAGAAGUCACAGAGGCCUUUUUGAUCUCUCUUACAUCUGAUUGGUAUUCUUCUGUUGUGAGGUAGGACAGUGAGUUACGGUUGUUCAAGUCAGAGAUUACAAUGACAUGUUCACUAUCAGAGGUACCACUGACUUCUUGGCAUCUUGGUGAGUUAAGAGGAUAUUGGAGUUAGGAUACAAUGCCAAAGGAACUGUUAGAAACCCAGGAGAAUACAAGAAAAUUGGACAUCUCUGGGAGCUUGAAGGAACCAAGGAGAGGCUUUCUUAAUCUGAACCAUAAGG